CUGAGCUAGUGAUGAUAAAGGUUAUCCCUGUCUGAAACUGAUCUUUUCCUCUGUGGAAGUAUCACUCUGAGGCUCGG
ensembl:snoRNA